ensembl:antisense Gm11695 predicted gene 11695
GGAGGCACUUGGUGCUUGCUGGCCUCUGCUCUCCAACCCUCUGGGUGAGCAAUGGGCUCAACAUGUUCCUGAAGCUACAACAGGGUAGUGAGCCCGAAGCUGGCUGCUACUCACCCCCACCGUGGACCAUGGCUCCCAGGAUGGAAGGAAACCACGAGGUCUCACUGUUGCUGGCCUGAAAGUCGCGCUGCAGAUCAGUGAAGAAGACACCGAUGCAGGAGGAUCAGACCGUGGGCGGGUAAAAUGCUGGUGUCUCCCAAAGUGGACAUGGACCUGUCUCCAAACUUCCAUUAUGAGCUGCCCAUGUACCAGCACCAACUUUCCUACCACCGGGAGAUCAACCUGAGCUCACCACCAGCGAGCAAGCUGGCACAGGAGGCACAGAUGCCAGCUCAGCAAGGACAGCC